UAAGUUUGAGGUUGCUCUUAGAAGUUAGCAACAUUUACGUUUGGGGUUGGGAGUACUAGAGAAAUUAGUCAAAGAAAAAGAAAAAGAAAAGAGAAAAAUAAGAUGAUAAGAUGUCAAAAAUAUGACAUUUAAAAAUAAAUGAGAAAGAAGAAAGAAAAGAAUAGGACCAAAAAUAAGAAAGCUCUCUAGUACCCAAUAUUAAAGAAAGAGUGAUAUGGAAUGAAGAAGAUAACGGAAGGAUAAAUAGGUACCUAACUUCAAGUUUUAAGCAUAUUAUCCCAAAACUAUCUUACCUUGACAUAAGUCAUGUUACAAUCUUAAAAGUCCUCAAAUGUGUGUGUUUAAAU
rnacentral:lncRNA from 1 species